rnacentral:rRNA from 1 species
AGCGAACGCUGGCGGCAGGCCUAACACAUGCAAGUCCAACGAACUCUUCGGAGUUAGUGGCGGACGGGUGAGUAACACGUGGGAACGUGCCUUUAGGUUCGGAAUAACUCAGGGAAACUUGUGCUAAUACCGAAUGUGCCCUUCGGGGGAAAGAUUUAUCGCCUUUAGAGCGGCCCGCGUCUGAUUAGCUAGUUGGUGAGGUAAAGGCUCACCAAGGCGACGAUCAGUAGCUGGUCUGAGAGGAUGAUCAGCCACAUUGGGACUGAGACACGGCCCAAACUCCUACGGGAGGCAGCAGUGGGGAAUCUUGCGCAAUGGGCGAAAGCCUGACGCAGCCAUGCCGCGUGAAUGAUGAAGGUCUUAGGAUUGUAAAAUUCUUUCACCGGGGACGAUAAUGACGGUACCCGGAGAAGAAGCCCCGGCUAACUUCGUG